AGCACAAUGGCUGGCACUCUGAGGAAGCCGGACUCAUCCCGUGCAGGCCGCAUACACACUCCACUGCCCUUCCGGCCAAACAAGCCCGGACACGGGAGAGGGAUGAGAGUCGGGGAUGCCUAGCGGCGGGGAGGGAAGGGAUAGGCAAAAGGGAAGAAGAGCGGGCUGUGAUACCCGCUCGACGCCGUCAAACACUGCUCCCCGCGCUCCAGAGCCCGGGGCCCACCCGACGGCAGCGCGCCCCGCCACCGCGCAGCCGCCCCGGUCCCUUCUCCCGCCCGUCUGUAGUAAAACAAUCGCUCUCCCGGCGUCUGCGGCCGCUGCCAGCGGUUCUGACACUGCAGGAAUGCGCGGUCUGGGAAAGGCUCCGCACUCUGGGGAGGGGCACGAGCGGGGUCGGGGAAACUCCAAGAUGAAAGCGUGCAAUAACUACCAAUAUGGAUACCUCGCAGGGCCUGACACUAGUUUCUGGAUAAAAUGCAGGCGAUGGCUGCUGGCGGAUGCCGGCAGACACACUCAAAGACCCUUUUGGACUUUCCGAGUUUCCCAUUCUCCUCUACUGGAGGCUGAGGCGGGCAGGCCCAGCGACGUCUCCCAGCUCCAACUGGGUUCGGACCUCAAGCCAAAAAUGAGGAGGCCGGCAGGAGAGCUUUUCUCGCCCAAAGAUGCUGGGUGGGAACCGGAUCCAGCUGAAAAAUCUGAGUGAGAAGGUUUCAGGCCCAGGAGGACUUGAGAUAAUACAGGAAAAUUCAAGAGGCUGAAAUGAGAAGGGUCCCUGGAGUCUUGUGAAAAAUUAUUAAUUUAUCUUGUCUUCUGUGCAUAGGCCUGUGCUUAUAGAAGUUGUCAAUAAAAAAUCUAAUAAUUCAUGAAUACACACAACUAAGAGCACAAGAACUGUAAUUAUCGAAGGAAGGCACUGGAAAAAGCAUGUCGGCUUGGAGAGCCCCAAGUACUUUUGUCUGAUGGCAAAGUACCUCUGGGCUGAACUGAGGACUUCAACUGGAAGGGGCAGGGAGCUUCUCUUUUGCUCGUUUAUGCAUUCAUUCCACAGACAUUUCAACCAUGAGAAGGUUGGAGACAGGAAUAAUGUCCCGAUGAGAUGAGAAGAAGCGUUGGCCUAUUUGCCUUUGUGGGAGCAAUAGACAGAGGGUGUCUUCCUGUAAGAAAUCACAAGGCCAGGCACGGUGGCUCACACCUAUAAUCCCAACAUGUUGGAAAGCUGAGGCAGGAGGAUCACUUGAGGCCAGGAGUUCAAGACCAGCCUAGGCAACAUAGUGAGACCCCAUCUCUAUAAAAAAAAAAAAUUAGCCAGGCAUGGUGGCCCAUCCUGGUAGCCCAUCCUGGUAGCCCCAGCUACACUGGAGGAUGAGGUGGGAGGAUCGCUUGAGCCCAAGAGGUUGAAGCUGCACUCCAGCCUGGGCGACAGCAAGACCUUGUCUCAAAAGUAAAUAAAUAAAUAAAUAAAUAAAUAAAUCACAAAGAGUAGCUGGUUAAAAGAUCCCUAGAUCUCCUUUCUUGGGAUCAUGCCCAGUUUUGUGACCUUGGGUUAGUUAACUUCCCUGUGGCUCAUUUCCUCAUCUGUAAAAUGAAGAAAAUAAUAGUGCCCGCCGGGCGCGGUGGCUCACGCCUGUAAUCCCAGCACUUUGGGAGGCCGAGGCGGGCGGAUCACGAGGUCAGGAGAUGGAGACCAUCCUGGCUAACACGGUGAAACCCCAUCUCCACCAAAAAUACAAAAAAUUAGCUGUGCGUGGUGGCGGGCGCCUGUAGUCCCAAUUACUCGGGAGGCUGAGAAUGGCGUGCACCCAGGAGGCGGAGCUUGGAGUGAGCCGAGAUUGCGCCACUGCACUCCAGCCUGGGUGACAGAGCGAGACUCCGUCUCAAAAAAAAAAAAGAAAGAAAAUAAUAGUGCCCCACUCUAUUGUGGCCUGUUGUGGGAUUAAAGGAGUGAAUAUGAGUAAAGUACUUCCAGGUUUAUUAGAGGGCACUAUACGUAUGUAUGUGUGUGUAUAUAUAUACACACACACACAUAUAUAUGUCAUAUAUAUGUCUCAUAUAGAUGUCCCACAUAUAUGUCUCAUAUAGAUGUCCCACAUAUAUGUCUCAUAUAGAUGUCCCACAUAUAUGUCUCAUAUAGAUGUCCCACAUAUAUGUCUCAUAUAGAUGUCCCACAUAUAUGUCUCAUAUAGAUGUCCCACAUAUAUGUCUCAUAUAGAUGUCCCACAUAUAUGUCUCAUAUAGAUGUCCCACAUAUAUGUCUCAUAUAGAUGUCCUAUAUAUGUGUGUGUGUAUAUAUAUAUAUGUGUGUGUGUAUAUAUAUAUGUGUGUGUGUGUAUAUAUAUAUGUGUAUAUAUUUGUAUAUAUAUGUGUAUAUAUAUGUGUAUAUAUAUGUGUAUAUAUAUGUAUAUAUAUAUGUCUUGGCUAAUUUGAGACCAUCUUUUGUCUAGAUCUUCAGAGCAUGGGAUAAACAGAUUUGAGAGAAGCUUGUGAAGUACUGAAAGUGAUAAAGAACUUGGUCUUGAGCUGGUGACCUUGUUAGUUAUCCUCUCUGUACCUCAGUUUUCUCAUCUGUAAAAUGGAGAUGCCAAUAUCUGCUGUUGGAUGCCAAUAUCUACUACAAGGUUGUUGUUAUGCAUAUUAAGUAAUAUAAUGCAUGCAAAAUGCUUAGCACAGUGCCUGGCAUAUAAUAAGCAACCAAUUAGUGGAUUCUGUGGUUAUUUUUGUGAGGCUAUGAAGAAACUGAAAGCUGAGGACAAGUAGCCUAGGCUAGGUACCUAGGAUGAGAAAUCCCUGAACAUGAGCCCAGUUAUUCUUCCAGCAAACACUUAUUUUAUUGUAGUAAGAUAUAUAUAACAUAAAAAUUACUAUUUUAACCAUUUUUAAGUGUACAAUUCACUGGUAUUAAACACAUUCACAUUGCUGUGUAACCACCACCACUAUUCAUCUACAGAAAUUUUGUUAUCCAAACAGAAACUCUGUAUCCAUUAAACACUAACUCCCCAGUACUCCCUUCCCCAGCCCCUGGUAACCACUAUUCUAAUUUUGUCUCUAAGAAUUUGACUAUUCUAAGUACCUCAUGUAAGUGUAAUUAUACAAUAUUUGUUUUUUGUAUCUGACUUAUUUCACUUAGCACAAUGUUUUCAAGGUUAAUCUAUGUUGCAACAAUGUCAGAAUUUCUUUUCUUUUUAAGGUAAAUAAUAUUCCAUGGUAUGUAUAUACUACAUUUUUUUUAUCUAUUCAUCUGCCCAUGGACAUUUGGAUUGUUUCCACCUUUUGGCUAUUGUGAAUAAUGCUACUAAUCUGUCAUGGGAUUAGAGUGAGAAAGAAAGAAUAAAAAAAUAAUGCUGCUGUCAA
rnacentral:lncRNA from 1 species